GACGACCGCUGGCGGCGUGCUUAACACAUGCAAGUCGAACGAAGUGGCGAACGGGUGAGUAAUACGUGAGUAACCUGCCCUCCUUUUUGGGAUAAGCCUUGGAAACGGGGUCUAAUACCGAAUAAAGGGGGAUAGGCUCGCGGCCUAUCAGCUUGUUGGUGUGGUGCUGGCCUACCAAGGCGGUGACGGGUAGCCGGCCUGAGAGGGUGACCGGCCACAUUGGGACUGAGAUAGGGCCCAGACUCCUACGUGAGGCAGCAGUGGGGGAUAUUGCACAAUGGGCGAAAGCCGGAGGCAGCCAUGCCGCGUGUAUGAAGAAGGCCUUCGGGUUGUAAAGUACUUUCAGCGGGGAGGCGUUACCCGCAGAAGAAGCACCGGCUAACUACGUGCCAGCAGCCGCGGUAAUAC
rnacentral:rRNA from 1 species